rnacentral:tRNA from 3 species
UUAGAAAUCGUGAGGGUUCAAGUCCCUCUAUCCCCAAAAAAACCAUAU